rnacentral:rRNA from 1 species
UGGGGAAUAUUGCACAAUGGGCGCAAGCCUGAUGCAGCGACGCCGCGUGCGGGAUGACGGCCUUCGGGUUGUAAACCGCUUUUGAUCGGGAGCAAGCCUUCGGGUGAGUGUACCUUUCGAAUAAGCACCGGCUAACUACGUGCCAGCAGCCGCGGUAAUACGUAGGGUGCAAGCGUUAUCCGGAAUUAUUGGGCGUAAAGGGCUCGUAGGCGGUUCAUCGCGUCCGGUGUGAAAGUCCAUCGCUUAACGGUGGAUCUGCGCCGGGUACGGGCGGGCUGGAGUGCGGUAGGGGAGACUGGAAUUCCCGGUGUAACGGUGGAAUGUGUAGAUAUCGGGAAGAACACCAAUGGCGAAGGCAGGUCUCUGGGCCGUUACUGACGCUGAGGAGCGAAAGCGUGGGGAGCGAACAGGAUUAGAUACCCUGGUAGUCCACGCCGUAAACGGUGGAUGCUGGAUGUGGGGCCCGUUCCACGGGUUCCGUGUCGGAGCUAACGCGUUAAGCAUCCCGCCUGGGGAGUACGGCCGCAAGGCUAAAACUCAAAGAAAUUGACGGGGGCCCGCACAAGCGGCGGAGCAUGCGGAUUAAUUCGAUGCAACGCGAAGAACCUUACCUGGGCUUGACAUGUUCCCGACAGCCGUAGAGAUGCGGCCUCCCUUCGGGGCGGGUUCACAGGUGGUGCAUGGUCGUCGUCAGCUCGUGUCGUGAGAUGUUGGGUUAAGUCCCGCAACGAGCGCAACCCUCGCCCUGUGUUGCCAGCACGUCAUGGUGGGAACUCACGGGGGACCGCCGGGGUCAACUCGGAGGAAGGUGGGGAUGACGUCAGAUCAUCAUGCCCCUUACGUCCAGGGCUUCACGCAUGCUACAAUGGCCGGUACAACGGGAUGCGACAUGGCGACAUGGAGCGGAUCCCUGAAAACCGGUCUCAGUUCGGAUUGGAGUCUGCAACCCGACUCCAUGAAGGCGGAGUCGCUAGUAAUCGCGGAUCAGCAACGCUGCGGUGAAUGCGUUCCC